rnacentral:rRNA from 1 species
UACGUAGGGUGCAAGCGUUGUCCGGAAUUAUUGGGCGUAAAGAGCUCGUAGGCGGUUUGUUGCGUCGGCUGUGAAAUCCCGAGGCUCAACCUCGGGUCUGCAGUCGAUACGAGCAAACUAGAGUGUUGCAGGGGAGACUGGAAUUCCUGGUGUAGCGGUGAAAUGCGCAGAUAUCAGGAGGAACACCGAUGGCGAAGGCAGGUCUCCGGGCCACUACUGACGCUGAGAAGCGAAAGCAUGGGGAGCGAACAGG